AAUCGGUGAAUUAGUGAAACACAAACAGCACACAGUGAGCUGCCUGCAACAACAGCGGCGCUCGGGGAGCAGUGAGGGGUUAGCUGCCUUGCUCAAGGGCACUUCAGCCGUGCCUACUGGUCGGGGUUCGAACCAGCAACCCUCCGGUUACAAGUCGGAAGCGCUAACCAGUAGGCCACGACUGCCCCAUGUGCUCUUCGGACUCCAUG